CAGACCUGCCGGCAGACUUCCGAGCUAAGCCUGAUUAAACAAAAACGUUUGAUCCGGCGGAAUAAUGUGUUUGAUAUUACAUCCCAUGUCAACAAGGAACUGCGCUGUCUGUCUUCGCCCCCAACAGGUUUUAUUCUUCCGGGUUUUUCAAAUCUUUACCAACCCGCGUCCGAUCGUAAUACCCCGAUCACAACAAAUAGUUGAUCGUGCUCCGAUGGCUCCAAACAUCAGCCGGCAAGGAAGUUACGUUUUUCGCUUCUAUAUUUUGACCCAAGUGAUGGCUGGUCGUGGUUCAUCAGCGUUUGUUUUGAAACUGAUGGGUACCACAAGGCAUGAAGGAGGUGACUUGCAGCAGCAAGGCACUGCAAGCCUUCGCAGCAACUGGCUAGCCAGUGCUGCUCUGUUCUGAACUGCACUGCGUGUCAUGCGGAGGUUUUGUGCAAGCUCUCUGGGCGGCGACGCUAGCCACGAUUGGCUUCGUGGAUGCACAGAAAUACUCAAGGCGCUUGACGUCUGUGGCUCAUCUGUAUUGUUUUUCCCGGUACCACGGCAUGAAGGAGCUGGCCUCCCUCCCUUCCAUCAGCUGCGAGAUACUACAAGCACUGGGCUACAGCUGCAGCUAGCCCAUGGGUACCGGGGACCAUGACAUCAGUGAGCUGGCUUUCACCUUGUCCAAGGCAGCAGCGGAACACUACGGGCGGGACCCUGGAUCACUGCACCAUGGAUGCCGUCCUGUACCCUGCACGGCACUGCGUGUGGCUUAAGUGGCCAAGCAGAGGGUCAUUGCAUGACUUUUAUGAGGCGCCGCUAGCCAUUGUAAGUACAUUUUGGACACUCAUGUCUGGUGAUGUACUUUUGUGCUCUACCGCAGAGCACAUUUGGUGGCGGUUCAGUCUUGCCAAUUACACCAUUUUGAAACGGAACACAUUUAGUGGUGGCUCGGUUUAGGUUUCCUGGCUCGGUGAUCUUGCAACAGUGUCUAGACUUGGCGUAAACCUUUUUGUACUUCAUUGUCAAGGCUAGUGUAAUUUCUGCAAUGCCGUUGAAGCCACUUCUGCACGCAAACAAGAUAAAAGUCGAAGCCACAUGCUCGUGCACAGUGUAUGACUACAUGUAUGCAUGGGCACUCGUGCCCAUGCAUACCCACUCGCAACAUGGAGCAUGUUUGUUUCGGCCGACACUCCACGCGUUCAUUUCGGCGUCGCCACUCCACACGUCUAUGCACUCGCUGCACCUUGAGAAUCAAGUGUGCACCAGAAUGCACUCCCGUCAUGCAUCACUCGGGAGAGGAACAAGAGCAGACGACUGGGGUUUUUCCGCCAUAAGGAACGAGAACCGAAAAAAAGGAGAUUUUCUGCUAAGAAACUGCGUCCCACGGGCAGCAAAAUCGGACGCGAGCUGGGCUAUUUAUUCUGUGAAGCAAGCAAUCGACAACCUGUGCUUCAUUUUCAAUUUUUCUUUCAGUUUGUUGCCACACACUUUUUUAUUUUAUUUAUUUAUUUAUCAAUACUGCCGGCCCAAUAUUGGGCCAAGGCAGGAGUGGGGUGAUACAGUGUCAUACCUGCAAAUUAUAAACACAACAGUUCUAAACAAAAAGCAAUCUUAGCACUGAAAAAUAUCUACGACUUAAUCGAAAGAAGAAAAUCAAUCAAUAUCAACAGUAUUACAGUAACCAAAUGUAAGGCUAGUAAUAACAGUAGCAGUAAAUGUAACAGCAGUAAUAACUAAUAAAAUAAAGACAGUAAAAAUAAUGUCAUAACAGCAAUAAAUGCAAUCUUAGCACUGAAAAAUAAUAUCUACGGCUCUUCCGAAAGAAGAAAGUGAAUCAAUAUCGAUAACAUCACCGGGAAGGCUGUUCCAAAAAUCAAUUGUAUGCACAAAAAAAAGAUUGUUUAUAGCUAUUUAUUCGAGCUUUAAUAGGGGCUACGGUCUGUGAGUGAUGCAAGCGGUCCGAGUAAAAACUUUUUGUUUUUAGGUAAAUCACGCUAUCAAUUUUUAUACUACUCUUGAAAAUCUGAAAGAACAGCUUCAAACGUUGGCUCUCUCUUCUGUUUGACAGCGGGCUUAUAUUGGCUCUCCUUUUACGUUCGGUCACAGACAUAGUUUGUCUGAAAUCUGAAAAAACUAUAUGCACUGCUAGCAAUUGAAUAUCUUCGAGUUCACUGACCAGAGAGCUCUGCCAUGGGCUCCACACUCCAGACACAUAUUCUAACACAGGUCUAAUAAUUGUCUUAUAAGCAAGAAUUUCAACGGAAGGGGGAGAUUUACCCAGCGUUCCCCUCACGUAUCACAAUUUGUUAGUUGCCCGCUUCUUAACAUACUGUACAUGCCUUUUCCACCCAAGGUCACAAGACAAAAUCACUCCCAAAUAUUUGUAACUGUCUACUUCAGUCAAUCCUAUGCCAGCAACCUCAUAGCUAAAAUUUAAGAUAGUUCUUUUUGUUGUAAUAUGCAUGUACUGAGUUUUGCUAAUAUUAAUAUCUUCAUGUUAUUUUCAUGACACCAAGACGCAAUGUUAGCCAAUGCGUCGCUCACUUUUAUCUGGUCUGUAAAGUUUAUAUUCAUCUCGUCUCGUCUCGUGACAUGAAGUCGCUCGUCUUCGGGUCUGUGCUGACGGCGUUGUCGCCGAUUGCCAGUCGAGGGUUUUAGUGAUGUCGGGAUAAUAGACUUAGGGUUGAAUAACUUGGCUUAAUAUACAGGUGUUAUACACAAAAAUUACAGCAUAGUUAGAGUUCGCUAGUUCUCAAAACUCAAUGGCCUCUGCCGUCUAACUCUCUAAGUGACACCCCUGCACUUUAUCCACUUGAUUUUUUUCCGCAUCACUCUUGAUGGGCCUUUUAUCUCAACUCCUGCUGCAUCGCUCUCGAUGUGUCUCCUCUCAAGUCUCUCAGUCAACUCCCCCUUCUCAACUCUGCCGCU